rnacentral:rRNA from 1 species
UACGUAGGGUGCGAGCGUUAAUCGGAAUUACUGGGCGUAAAGCGUGCGCAGGCGGUUAUGUAAGACAGAUGUGAAAUGCCCGGGCUCAACCUGGGAACUGCAUUUGUGACUGCAUGGCUAGAGUGUGUCAGAGGGGGGUAGAAUUCCACGUGUAGCAGUGAAAUGCGUAGAGAUGUGGAGGAAUACCGAUGGCGAAGGCAGCCCCCUGGGAUAACACUGACGCUCAUGCACGAAAGCGUGGGGAGCAAACAGG